AACGAACGCUGGCGGUAUGCUUAACACAUGCAAGUCGAACGGGUGUAGCAGUACAUCAGUGGCAAACGGGUGAGGAAUAUAGAGGAAUUUUCCCAGCAGUAAGGAAUAACUCUGAGAAAUCAGAGCUAACGCCAUAUAUUACCCUUCGGGGGAAAGAUUUAUCGCUGUUGGAUGAGCCUCUAUCGGAUUAGCUAGUUGGUGGGGUAAUGGCCUACCAAGGCAAUGAUCCGUAGCGGGUCUGAGAGGAUGAUCCGCCACACUGGGACUGAGACACGGCCCAGACUCCUACGGGAGGCGGCAGUGGGGAAUAUUGGACAAUGGGGGGAACCCUGAUCCAGCCAUGCCGCGUGUGUGAAGAAGGCCUUAUGGUUGUAAAGCACUUUAAGCGAGGAGGAGGCUCUUUUGGUUAAUACCCAAGAUGAGUGGACGUUACUCGCAGAAUAAGCACCGGCUAACUCUGUGCCAGCAGCCGCCGUA
rnacentral:rRNA from 1 species